rnacentral:rRNA from 1 species
CCUACGGGGGGCAGCAGUGGGGAAUAUUGCACAAUGGGGGAAACCCUGAUGCAGCGAAGCCGCGUGAAGGAUGAAGUAUCUCGGUAUGUUAACUUCUUUCUGCAGGGGAGCAAAUGACGGUACCUGACUCAGAAGCCCCGGCUAACUACGUGCCAGCUGCCGCGGUAAUACGGAGGGGGCAAGCGUUAUCCGGAUUUACUGGGUGUUAAGGGAGCGUAGUCGGUAUGGCAAGUCUGAUGUGAAAACCCGGGGCGCAACCCCGGGACUGCAUUGGAAACUGGCGAACUCGAGUGUCGGAGAGGCAUGUGGAAUGCGCGGUGUAGCGGUGAAAUGCGUAGAUAUCAGGAAGAACACCAAUGGCGAAGGCGGCUUGCUGGACGAUGACUGACGCUGAGGCUCGAAAGCGUGGGUAGCGAACAGGAUUAGAUACCCCGGUAGUC